AUUGAACGCUGGCGGCAGGCCUAACACAUGCAAGUCGAACGAGUGGCGGACGGGUGAGUAAUGUCUGGGAAACUGCCCGAUGGAGGGGGAUAACUACUGGAAACGGUAGCUAAUACCGCAUACCAUCGGAUGUACCCAGAUGGGAUUAGCUUGUAGGUGAGGUAACGGCUCACCUAGGCGACGAUCCCUAGCUGGUCUGAGAGGAUGACCAUGCAAACGGGAACUGAGACACGGUCCAGACUCCUACGGGAGGCAGCAGUGGGGAAUAUGGCACAAUGGGCGCAAGCCUGAUGAAGCCAUGCCGCGUGUAUGAAGAAGGCCGUCGGUUUGUAAAGUACUUUCAGCGGGGAGGCGUUACCCGCAGAAGAAGCACCGGCUAACUCCGUGCCAGCCGCCGCGGUAAUAC
rnacentral:rRNA from 1 species